CGCCUCUUGAUUAAUAUAAGAGGUCCAGCCUGCCCAGUGACAUAGUUUAACGGCCGCGGUAUCCUAACCGUGCGAAGGUAGCAUAAUCACUUGUUCUCUAAAUAAGGACUAGUAUCAACGGCAUCACGAGGGCUACACUGUCUCCUUUCUCCAAUCAGUGAAACUGAUCUCCCCGUGAAGAAGCGGGGAUUCAAAUAUAAGACGAGAAGACCCCAUGGAGCUUUAAGCACCGUAUUUACCCUUUCUACAAUAAACCAACUAAACUAAAAAGACCUAAAUACCCGCUUUUGGUUGGGGGGACCGCGGAGUACAACAUACCCUCCGCAACAAAUGGGCCACGCCCUUAUCUAUGAGUUACAACUCUAAGAAUCAACAAACUGAUGCCUUUUGACCCGAUAAGUCGAUCAACGAACCAAGUUACCCUGGGGAUAACAGCGCAAUCUACUUCAAGAGCUCAUAUCGACAAGUAGGUUUACGACCUCGAUGUUGGAUCAGGGUACCCCAGUGGUGCAGCCGCUACUAACGGUUCGUUUGUUCAACGAUUAAAACCCU
rnacentral:rRNA from 1 species